rnacentral:misc_RNA from 1 species
AUGAAUUUUGAAAGGGGUUGUAGCUGGUCUUUUCCGAGACAUGUGCACGCCCUGCUCAUCCAUUCUACCCCUGUGCACACUCUGUAGGUCGGUUUUGAAGUGAUUCCUCACGGAAUUGCUCGGGCCUUCCUAUGUUUUCAUAUAAACACUUUAAAGUCAAAGAAUGUAAUCGCGUGUAACGCAUUUAAUA